rnacentral:rRNA from 1 species
CGUGUAGGCGGCUCAUCAAGUCUGGUGUGAAAACGCAAGGCUUAACCUUGCAUAGGCGCUGGAAACUGGUGGGCUUGAGUUCCUGAGGGGAAGCUGGAAUUCCAGGUGUAGGGGUGAAAUCUGUAGAUAUCUGGAAGAACACCGGUGGCGAAGGCGAGCUUCUAUCAGAGGACUGACGCUGAGGCGCGAAAGCGUGGGGAGCAAACAGGAUUAGAUACCCUGGUAGUCCACGCUGUAAACGAUGUGCACUAGGCGUGGGGCCCGUACGGGUUCUGUGCCGUAGUUAACGUGUUAAGUGCACCGCCUGGGGAGUAUGCUCGCAAGGGUGAA